CUGGGCGACUGAGGCGGGAGGAUGGCAGGUUGGAGCCGGACCUACCCAACUGAGCCACGUAGUGAGACCCUGGCUCAAAAUAAAAGAGAGAAUUACUGCUGGACAGAACUCCAGAUCGGUUGCUAGGAGUCAUAGAGCGGAGAUUGCCGGACGAGGCUGAGCCGGCUGCAGGCAGUAAAGAAGAGGCCCUUUCGGAGGCCGGGAGAACCGCAGUGGAGAGAAGGCGCGCACGUGGCCGAUCACUGCUGUCACGCCUAAAGGCGCUCGAACGCGGGCCAAGAACACCGCUUCCCUAACCCUGGAAAAGGGCAGC